GAUGAACGCUGGCGGCGUGCCUAAUACAUGCAAGUCGAGCGAAUGGAUUAAGAGCUUGCUCUUAUGAAGUUAGCGGCGGACGGGUGAGUAACACGUGGGUAACCUGCCCAUAAGACUGGGAUAACUCCGGGAAACCGGGGCUAAUACCGGAUAACAUUUUGAACCGCAUGGUUCGAAAUUGAAAGGCGGCUUCGGCUGUCACUUAUGGAUGGACCCGCGUCGCAUUAGCUAGUUGGUGAGGUAACGGCUCACCAAGGCAACGAUGCGUAGCCGACCUGAGAGGGUGAGCGGCCACACUGGGACUGAGACACGGCCCCGACUACCACGGGAGGCAGCAGUAGGGAAUCUUCCGCAAUGGACGAAAGUCUGACGGAGCAACGCCGCGUGAGUGAUGAAGGCUUUCGGGUCGUAAAACUCUGUUGUUAGGGAAGAACAAGUGCUAGUUGAAUAAGCUGGCACCUUGACGGUACCUAACCAGAAAGCCACGGCUAACUACGUGCCAGCCGCCGCGGUAA
rnacentral:rRNA from 1 species